GCUCAGAGUUAACGCUGGCAUCGUGCAUAACACAUGCAAGUCGAACGGGACUUAUUGAGAUUACAUCAACUAUAAGUCUAGUGGCAGACGGGUGAGUAAUACAUAAGAAAUCCACCCUGGAGUGGGGAACAACUAGCUGAAAGGUUAGCUAAUACCCCAUAAUAUCUUUUAGCGGCAUCGCUUGAAGAUUAAAGAUUUAUCGCUCCUGGACGAUCUUAUGGUCUAUCAGCUAGUUGGUAGGGUAACGGCCUACCAAGGCGACGACGGAUAUCCGGCCUGAAAGGGCGACCGGACACAAGGGCACUGAGACACGGGCCCUACUCCUACGGGAGGCAGCAGUGGGGAAUUUUGGACAAUGGGCGCAAGCCUGAUCCAGCAACGAUGCGUGGAGGACGAAGGUUUUCGGAUUGUAAACUCCUUUUGCGGGGGAAGAAAUAAAUGACGGUACUCCGCGAAUAAGCCACGGCUAACUACGUGCCAGCAGCCGCGGUAAGACGUAGGUGGCGAGCGUUACUCGGAAUUACUAGGCGUAAAGCGCGCGUAGGCGGGAUGUUAAGUCUUCUGUGUAAUCUCCGGGCCCAACCCGGAAACUGCAGGGGAAACUGGCGUUCUUGAGUGAGGCAGAGGAAAUCGGAAUUCCAAAUGUAGCAGUGAAAUGCGUAGAUAUUUGGAGGAACACCGGUGGCGAAGGCGGAUUUCUGGGCCUUUACUGACGCUGAAGUGCGAAAGCUAGGGGAGCAAACGGGAUUAGAUACCCCGGUAGUCCUAGCCGUAAACGAUGAUAACUAGGUGUGGGAGGUAUCGACCCCUUCCGUGCCGCCGCUAACGCAUUAAGUUAUCCGCCUGGGGAGUACGGCCGCAAGGUUAAAACUCAAAGGAAUUGACGGGGACCCGCACAAGAGGUGGAGUAUGUGGUUUAA
rnacentral:rRNA from 1 species